UUAAGCGACUAAGCGUACACGGUGGAUGCCCUGGCAGUCAGAGGCGAUGAAGGACGUGCUAAUCUGCGAUAAGCGUCGGUAAGGUGAUAUGAACCGUUAUAACCGGCGAUUUCCGAAUGGGGAAACCCAGUGUGAUUCGUCACACUAUCAUUAACUGAAUCCAUAGGUUAAUGAGGCGAACCGGGGGAACUGAAACAUCUAAGUACCCCGAGGAAAAGAAAUCAACCGAGAUUCCCCCAGUAGCGGCGAGCGAACGGGGAGGAGCCCAGAGCCUGAAUCAGUGUGUGUGUUAGUGGAAGCGUCUGGAAAGGCGCGCGAUACAGGGUGACAGCCCCGUACACAAAAAUGCACAUGCUGUGAGCUCGAUGAGUAGGGCGGGACACGUGGUAUCCUGUCUGAAUAUGGGGGGACCAUCCUCCAAGGCUAAAUACUCCUGACUGACCGAUAGUGAACCAGUACCGUGAGGGAAAGGCGAAAAGAACCCCGGCGAGGGGAGUGAAAAAGAACCUGAAACCGUGUACGUACAAGCAGUGGGAGCACAGAGCAAUCUGUGUGACUGCGUACCUUUUGUAUAAUGGGUCAGCGACUUAUAUUCUGUAGCAAGGUUAACCGAAUAGGGGAGCCGAAGGGAAACCGAGUCUUAACUGGGCGUUAAGUUGCAGGGUAUAGACCCGAAACCCGGUGAUCUAGCCAUGGGCAGGUUGAAGGUUGGGUAACACUAACUGGAGGACCGAACCGACUAAUGUUGAAAAAUUAGCGGAUGACUUGUGGCUGGGGGUGAAAGGCCAAUCAAACCGGGAGAUAGCUGGUUCUCCCCGAAAGCUAUUUAGGUAGCGCCUCGUGAAUUCAUCUCCGGGGGUAGAGCACUGCUUCGGCAAGGGGGUCAUCCCGACUUACCAACCCGAUGCAAACUGCGAAUACCGGAGAAUGUUAUCACGGGAGACACACGGCGGGUGCUAACGUCCGUCGUGAAGAGGGAAACAACCCAGACCGCCAGCUAAGGUCCCAAAGUCAUGGUUAAGUGGGAAACGAUGUGGGAAGGCCCAGACAGCCAGGAUGUUGGCUUAGAAGCAGCCAUCAUUUAAAGAAAGCGUAAUAGCUCACUGGUCGAGUCGGCCUGCGCGGAAGAUGUAACGGGGCUAAACCAUGCACCGAAGCUGCGGCAGCGACACUGUGUGUUGUUGGGUAGGGGAGCGUUCUGUAAGCCUGUGAAGGUGUGCUGUGAGGCAUGCUGGAGGUAUCAGAAGUGCGAAUGCUGACAUAAGUAACGAUAAAGCGGGUGAAAAGCCCGCUCGCCGGAAGACCAAGGGUUCCUGUCCAACGUUAAUCGGGGCAGGGUGAGUCGACCCCUAAGGCGAGGCCGAAAGGCGUAGUCGAUGGGAAACAGGUUAAUAUUCCUGUACUUGGUGUUACUGCGAAGGGGGGACGGAGAAGGCUAUGUUGGCCGGGCGACGGUUGUCCCGGUUUAAGCGUGUAGGCUGGUUUUCCAGGCAAAUCCGGAAAAUCAAGGCUGAGGCGUGAUGACGAGGCACUACGGUGCUGAAGCAACAAAUGCCCUGCUUCCAGGAAAAGCCUCUAAGCAUCAGGUAACAUCAAAUCGUACCCCAAACCGACACAGGUGGUCAGGUAGAGAAUACCAAGGCGCUUGAGAGAACUCGGGUGAAGGAACUAGGCAAAAUGGUGCCGUAACUUCGGGAGAAGGCACGCUGAUAUGUAGGUGAAGUCCCUCGCGGAUGGAGCUGAAAUCAGUCGAAGAUACCAGCUGGCUGCAACUGUUUAUUAAAAACACAGCACUGUGCAAACACGAAAGUGGACGUAUACGGUGUGACGCCUGCCCGGUGCCGGAAGGUUAAUUGAUGGGGUCAGCGCAAGCGAAGCUCUUGAUCGAAGCCCCGGUAAACGGCGGCCGUAACUAUAACGGUCCUAAGGUAGCGAAAUUCCUUGUCGGGUAAGUUCCGACCUGCACGAAUGGCGUAAUGAUGGCCAGGCUGUCUCCACCCGAGACUCAGUGAAAUUGAACUCGCUGUGAAGAUGCAGUGUACCCGCGGCAAGACGGAAAGACCCCGUGAACCUUUACUAUAGCUUGACACUGAACAUUGAGCCUUGAUGUGUAGGAUAGGUGGGAGGCUUUGAAGUGUGGACGCCAGUCUGCAUGGAGCCGACCUUGAAAUACCACCCUUUAAUGUUUGAUGUUCUAACGUGGACCCGUGAUCCGGGUUGCGGACAGUGUCUGGUGGGUAGUUUGACUGGGGCGGUCUCCUCCUAAAGAGUAACGGAGGAGCACGAAGGUUGGCUAAUCCUGGUCGGACAUCAGGAGGUUAGUGCAAUGGCAUAAGCCAGCUUGACUGCGAGCGUGACGGCGCGAGCAGGUGCGAAAGCAGGUCAUAGUGAUCCGGUGGUUCUGAAUGGAAGGGCCAUCGCUCAACGGAUAAAAGGUACUCCGGGGAUAACAGGCUGAUACCGCCCAAGAGUUCAUAUCGACGGCGGUGUUUGGCACCUCGAUGUCGGCUCAUCACAUCCUGGGGCUGAAGUAGGUCCCAAGGGUAUGGCUGUUCGCCAUUUAAAGUGGUACGCGAGCUGGGUUUAGAACGUCGUGAGACAGUUCGGUCCCUAUCUGCCGUGGGCGCUGGAGAACUGAGGGGGGCUGCUCCUAGUACGAGAGGACCGGAGUGGACGCAUCACUGGUGUUCGGGUUGUCAUGCCAAUGGCACUGCCCGGUAGCUAAAUGCGGAAGAGAUAAGUGCUGAAAGCAUCUAAGCACGAAACUUGCCCCGAGAUGAGUUCUCCCUGACCCUUUAAGGGUCCUGAAGGAACGUUGAAGACGACGACGUUGAUAGGCCGGGUGUGUAAGCGCAGCGAUGCGUUGAGCUAACCGGUACUAAUGAACCGUGAGGCUUAACCUU
rnacentral:rRNA from 1 species